CUGUAAAUCUAAACACCUUUGGGUAUUUGAUGAAUGGCCAACAGUUAUAUUUGUGGCUGACUGUUUUUCUUGGCACCGUUGGGAAUCCUUUUAAGUUGCCGAGGGCUAUAAGCUAAUCCCAGUCGGCAAGCUUGUAUGGUCGUGUACUCAGAAAUAUCACGUGGGUAACUGCACCACACAUUUCCUGAUAUUUUUACCCCACGUCCUAAUUAAAGCAUCCAUCACCGUCAGAUCUUGUAGCUAUAUCGCAGCCAUCCAAUCUGCGAUAGCCAGGUAUAUAUUAACAUGUCAAGAACCCUAGCCGGCGGCAAUCCAAAUUCACAAACCAGAUCGCAUCUUGUUCUGCUCGAGAGUCGAGAGUCGAGACUGCUACUAGAAGAGCCGAGGAGCCGAUCGUCUGCAGCCUUCGGGGCCUAACCAGCUGUCUCCGCCACAAGAGGGCUCCAGUAGCAACCAUGCUGCCGUGUGGACUGCAAUCACUCAUGAUUCAUGAUGCGCGCCCGAUGGCCGGUGUGCUCCGAGCCUCUGAGAUCGAUUGUUUCAGAUUUGCUGUCAAAUAGGAUUAAGAUUGAAUCUGCAAUAAUGGUAUUUGGAGGUCUGGGAGCUGCAAUGAUUAUGGCAAUGUGCGAAGGCUGAAUGAAGACUUGUAGAUAGCAUACAGUUGGAUUACUUGUUCCUCCAAUGUUAGUUUUGGAUAUGCGGUGUGACCAUCCACUUAGUAUAUGUAACGAUUGUCAGAUUCUUUUUAGUUUAGCUAAUGUAAGCCUACUACAGUAUAUAUGUAACAAUUUUCAUUUUUUUUGUUUAGCUAAAUGUGUACCAGCAUACCCGUGAGGCAUAUAUAUAAUCAAUUUAAUAAAUAA